rnacentral:rRNA from 1 species
UGAGGAAUAUUGGUCAAUGGACGCAAGUCUGAACCAGCCAAGUAGCGUGCAGGAUGACGGCCCUAUGGGUUGUAAACUGCUUUUAUGUGGGAAUAAAUUGGCGCACGUGUGCGCCAUUGCAUGUACCUCAUGAAUAAGGACCGGCUAAUUCCGUGCCAGCAGCCGCGGUAAUACGGAAGGUCCGGGCGUUAUCCGGAUUUAUUGGGUUUAAAGGGAGUGUAGGCGGUCUGUUAAGCGUGUUGUGAAAUUUAGGUGCUCAACAUUUAACUUGCAGCGCGAACUGUCAGACUUGAGUACACGCAGCGCAGGCGGAAUUCAUGGUGUAGCGGUGAAAUGCUUAGAUAUCAUGAGGAACUCCGAUCGCGAAGGCAGCCUGCGGGAGUGUUACUGACGCUUAAGCUCGAAGGUGCGGGUAUCGAACAGGAUUAGAUACCCUGGUAGUCCGCACUGUAAACGAUGGAUGCCCGCCGUUGGCGCCCUGCGCCUGCGGCCAAGCGAAAGCAUUAAGCAUCCCACCUGGGGAGUACGCCGGCAACGGUG